CUGCAGUCGACGGUAACAGGAAGCAGCUUGCUGCUUCGCUGACGAGUGGCGGACGGGUGAGUAAUGUCUGGGAAACUGCCUGAUGGAGGGGGAUAACUACUGGAAACGGUAGCUAAUACCGCAUAACGUCGCAAGACCAAAGAGGGGGACCUUCGGGCCUCUUGCCAUCAGAUGUGCCCAGAUGGGAUUAGCUAGUAGGUGGGGUAACGGCUCACCUAGGCGACGAUCCCUAGCUGGUCUGAGAGGAUGACCAGCCACACUGGAACUGAGACACGGUCCAGACUCCUACGGGAGGCAGCAGUGGGGAAUAUUGCACAAUGGGCGCAAGCCUGAUGCAGCCAUGCCGCGUGUAUGAAGAAGGCCUUCGGGUUGUAAAGUACUUUCAGCGGGGAGGAAGGCGAUACGGUUAAUAACCGCGUCGAUUGACGUUACCCGCAGAAGAAGCACCGGCUAACUCCGUGCCAGCAGCCGCGGUAAUACGGAGGGUGCAAGCGUUAAUCGGAAUUACUGGGCGUAAAGCGCACGCAGGCGGUCUGUCAAGUCGGAUGUGAAAUCCCCGGGCUCAACCUGGGAACUGCAUCCGAAACUGGCAGGCUUGAGUCUCGUAGAGGGGGGUAGAAUUCCAGGUGUAGCGGUGAAAUGCGUAGAGAUCUGGAGGAAUACCGGUGGCGAAGGCGGCCCCCUGGACGAAGACUGACGCUCAGGUGCGAAAGCGUGGGGAGCAAACAGGAUUAG
rnacentral:rRNA from 1 species